rnacentral:rRNA from 1 species
GAUGAACGCUAGCUACAGGCUUAACACAUGCAAGUCGAGGGGCAGCAUGGUCUUAGCUUGCUAAGGCCGAUGGCGACCGGCGCACGGGUGAGUAACACGUAUCCAACCUGCCGUCUACUCUUGGACAGCCUUCUGAAAGGAAGAUUAAUACAAGAUGGCAUCAUGAGUCCGCAUGUUCACAUGAUUAAAGGUAUUCCGGUAGACGAUGGGGAUGCGUUCCAUUAGAUAGUAGGCGGGGUAACGGCCCACCUAGUCUUCGAUGGCUAGGGGUUCUGAGAGGAAGGUCCCCCACAUUGGGACUGAGACCCGGUCCAAACUCCUACGGGAGGCAGCAGUGAGGAAUAUUGAUCAAUGGGCGCAGGCCUGAACCAGCCAAGUAGCGUGCAGGAUGACUGCCCUAUGGGUUGUAAACUUCUUUUAGAAAGGAAUAAAGUCGGGUAUGUAUACCCGUUUGCAUGUACUUUAUGAAUAAGGAUCGGCUAACUCCGUG